GACGAACGCUGGCGGCGUGCUUAACACAUGCAAGUCGAACGGAAAGGCCCUGCUUUUGUGGGGUGCUCGAGUGGCGAACGGGUGAGUAACACGUGAGUAACCUGCCCUUGACUUUGGGAUAACUUCAGGAAACUGGGGCUAAUACCGGAUAGGAGCUCCUGCUGCAUGGUGGGGGUUGGAAAGUUUCGGCGGUUGGGGAUGGACUCGCGGCUUAUCAGCUUGUUGGUGGGGUAGUGGCUUACCAAGGCUUUGACGGGUAGCCGGCCUGAGAGGGUGACCGGCCAACUUGGGACUGGGGUACGGCCCAGACUCCUACGGGAGGCAGCAGUGGGGAAUAUUGCACAAUGGGCGGAAGCCUGAUGCAGCAACGCCGCGUGCGGGAUGACGGCCUUCGGGUUGUAAACCGCUUUCGCCUGUGACGAAGCGUGAGUGACGGUAAUGGGUAAAGAAGCACCGGCUAACUACGUG
rnacentral:rRNA from 1 species